rnacentral:rRNA from 1 species
UACGUAGGGUGCAAGCGUUAAUCGGAAUUACUGGGCGUAAAGCGUGCGCAGGCGGCUUUGUAAGUCAGAUGUGAAAUCCCCGGGCUUAACCUGGGAACUGCGUUUGAAACUACAAGGCUAGAGUGUGGCAGAGGGGGGUGGAAUUCCACGUGUAGCAGUGAGAUGCGUAGAGAUGUGGAGGAACACCGAUGGCGAAGGCAGCCCCCUGGGUUAACACUGACGCUCAGGCACGAAAGCGUGGGGAGCAAACAGG